UACGUAGGGUGCGAGCGUUGUCCGGAAUUAUUGGGCGUAAAGGGCUCGUAGGCGGUUUGUCACGUCAGGAGUGAAAACUCGGGGCUCAACCCCGAGCCUGCUUCUGAUACGGGCAGACUGGAGGUAUGCAGGGGAGAACGGAAUUCCUGGUGUAGCGGUGAAAUGCGCAGAUAUCGGGAGGAACACCAGUGGCGAAGGCGGCGAUCUGGGAAGAUACUGACGCUGAGGUGCGAAAGCGUGGGGAGCAAACAGG
rnacentral:rRNA from 1 species